CAACUACUCCCUUCAUUCGGAAUUACUUGUCAUAAAACUGGAUGUAUCUACAACUAAAAUACAUCUAGAUACAUUCAUUUCUUGGACGAGUAAUUCCGAACGGAGGGAGUACUAA
rnacentral:pre_miRNA from 1 species